AAACGACUCUCGGCAACGGAUAUCUCGGCUCUCGCAUCGAUGAAGAACGUAGCGAAAUGCGAUACUUGGUGUGAAUUGCAGAAUCCCGUGAACCAUCGAGUCUUUGAACGCAAGUUGCGCCCCAAGCCGUUAGGCCGAGGGCACGCCUGCCUGGGUGUCACG
rnacentral:rRNA from 1 species